rnacentral:rRNA from 1 species
CUACGUGCCAGCAGCCGCGGUAAUACGUAGGGUGCGAGCGUUAAUCGGAAUUACUGGGCGUAAAGCGAGCGCAGACGGUUACUUAAGCAGGAUGUGAAAUCCCCGGGCUCAACCUGGGAACUGCGUUCUGAACUGGGUGACUAGAGUGUGUCAGAGGGAGGUAGAAUUCCACGUGUAGCAGUGAAAUGCGUAGAGAUGUGGAGGAAUACCGAUGGCGAAGGCAGCCUCCUGGGAUAACACUGACGUUCAUGCUCGAAAGCGUGGGUAGCAAACAGGAUUAGAUACCCUGGUAGUCCACGCCCUAAACGAUGUCAAUUAGCUGUUGGGCAACUUGAUUGCUUAGUAGCGUAGCUAACGCGUGAAAUUGACCGCCUGGGGAGUACGGUCGCAAGAUUAAAACUCAAAGGAAUUGACGGGGACCCGCACAAGCGGUGGAUGAUGUGGAUUAAUUCGAUGCAACGCGAAGAACCUUACCUGGUCUUGACAU